rnacentral:piRNA from 1 species
UGGCAGUCAGCCCACAGUCAGAGCUUUGGGA